UACGAAGGGGGCUAGCGUUGCUCGGAAUCACUGGGCGUAAAGGGUGCGUAGGCGGGUCUUUAAGUCAGGGGUGAAAUCCUGGAGCUCAACUCCAGAACUGCCUUUGAUACUGAGGAUCUUGAGUACGGGAGAGGUGAGUGGAACUGCGAGUGUAGAGGUGAAAUUCGUAGAUAUUAGGAAGAACACCGGUGGCGAAGGCGGCCCACUGGUCCGGUACUGACGCUGAGGUGCGAAAGCGUGGGGAGCAAACAGG
rnacentral:rRNA from 1 species